rnacentral:misc_RNA from 1 species
GUAAUCUCAAGCUAUGCUUGGUGUUGGGUGUUUGUCUCCUGUAGACUCGCCUUAAAACAAUUGGCAGCCGGCGUAUUGAUUUCGGAGCGCAGUACAUCUCGCGCUUUGCACUCAUAACGACGACAUCCAAAAGUACAUUUUUACAC